rnacentral:tRNA from 1 species
GGGGGUUUAGCUCAGUGGCAUAAGUGCCUACCUUGCAAGCAGGCAGUCUGGGUUCAAUCCCCGGUACCAAUA